rnacentral:rRNA from 1 species
GUGUGGCUUUAACGUUCGUCGCUGUCGUCGUUCCUGGGGCGCGUGGCGGUCGCUUGCGACACGUGCGCGUCUCGGUUUCGAUGGUGGUGGGGAACUUCAUCAUGUUCGCUCCGGUGUAAAAGUCGAUCAUCUAUCCGACCCGUCUUGAAACACGGACCAAGGAGUUUAACGUAUGCGCGAGUCAAUGGGCGUUCAAAACCCAAAGGCGUAAUGAAAGUGAAAGUGCUCCCGAAGUGCUUGAUAUGCGAUCCGCAGCACCACGGUGUUGCCGGCGCAGCAUAGCCCCGUUCCCGUCGCUUGCGAUGGAGCGGAGGAAGAGCGUAUGCGUUGAGACCCGAAAGAUGGUGAACUAUGCCUGAGCAGGACGAAGUCAGAAGAGACUCUGAUGGAAGUCCUGAAUCGGUUGUGACGUGCAAAUCGAUCGUCUGACUUG